UUGUAGCAAUACAGCAGCAUACCAGUAAAAAUACAUUUUCUUCUUUUUAGAAAUGUUUGAGAUAUUGGACGCAGACAAGGGUGGAAAGCAUCAGUUUGUCCUUAUCUGAGUGGCUCUGUGCUGCACUGAUAUGAAGAGACCCCCAUGCACAUACAUGGAAUCGGUGACUGGGCAUUGUCCUUAGACAACCUGUUUGCUCAGCAGCAGAAUUAUCUUCUUUUUAAAUAAGUAUAACCCUUAUCAGGAAUAUAAAACAUGACCACUGUAUUGCUUUCAUGUAAAAAAAAAAAUUCUGUAUAUAAAAAACAACGAAUAAAAGUCAAUAAAAAAUGAAUAUGUUAUG